rnacentral:rRNA from 1 species
AGUUUGACUGGGGCGGUCUCCUCCUAAAGAGUAACGGAGGAGCACGAAGGUUGGCUAAUCCUGGUCGGACAUCAGGAGGUUAGUGCAAUGGCAUAAGCCAGCUUGACUGCGAGCGUGACGGCGCGAGCAGGUGCGAAAGCAGGUCAUAGUGAUCCGGUGGUUCUGAAUGGAAGGGCCAUCGCUCAACGGAUAAAAGGUACUCCGGGGAUAACAGGCUGAUACCGCCCAAGAGUUCAUAUCGACGGCGGUGUUUGGCACCUCGAUGUCGGCUCAUCACAUCCUGGGGCUGAAGUAGGUCCCAAGGGUAUGGCUGUUCGCCAUUUAAAGUGGUACGCGAGCUGGGUUUAGAACGUCGUGAGACAGUUCGGUCCCUAUCUGCCGUGGGCGCUGGAGAAUUGAGGGGGGCUGCUCCUAGUACGAGAGGACCGGAGUGGACGCAUCACUGGUGUUCGGGUUGUCAUGCCAAUGGCACUGCCCGGUAGCUAAAUGCGGAAGAGAUAAGUGCUGAAAGCAUCUAAGCACGAAACUUGCCCCGAGAUGAGUUCUCCCUGACUCCUUGAGAGUCCUGAAGGAACGUUGAAGACGACGACGUUGAUAGGCCGGGUGUGUAAGCGCAGCGAUGCGUUGAGCUAACCGGUACUAAUGAACCGUGAGGCUUAACCUU